ACUUUGCUGACGAGUUCCAAACAGCACGAAACACGGGUUCAAGGU
rfam:Schistosoma haematobium scaffold272_36, whole genome shotgun sequence.